GGAGGGAGGAAAGAAAGAAAGGAAAAGAAAAGAAAGAAGGAAGAAAGAGGAAAGAAAAAUGAAAUCAAGUAGUACUGAUAGUGGCCUCACAUGAAAACUUCCAGGAAGCAGUCAGACCCUACCCUCGAGUUUAUUAGGGAUAAUAAUAAUCAUCACUGGUUCUUACCAUGUUCCAGGCACUGUGCUGAGUAAACGCUGUCAUGUUUUAUCUUGUGACAACCUGUGAGCUCAUAUUCAUAUCCCCUUUUACAGAUGAAGUUCAGAGAGAUUAAGCAAUUAGCCCAAGGCCACAUGGCCAGAAUUUAAACCUAAGUAUGUGCUGUUAAUUGCUGUUAUAUACUGCCUCCCAAUUUCUUCAACAUGGAUCUUUAAUAAAAAGGCAAAACAGUACUAUUUCUCUCUGAUUGGCAGCUCUGCCUGUCCUGUGUAAGUACCACACCUGGCUGAAAGCAGAUAGCUCGCUGGCUGGCCAGUCCAGCAACACUGGGACUGGGACCCAGCUCACCUAACCAGAGAGAAUGGAUGUGUCUGGACGCCCAGCUGGCCCCCAUUUAAAACUGAUCCCCUCUCUUCUGGAGGAACUUUGGGAAGAUGCUAUCUAUCAAGGCAAAGGCUCCCUUUUUGUAUUUGUCUCUGAUGUUGGGACCUAAGAAGCCAUUUGUUUAACCCUCAGAGAAGGAGUUGAGUGAAGUAGAGUAUAAGGAAAAUGCACCCGUACCCUAAUAAAAUAGCACUCACACCCUGAGUCUAAUCUUUUGGGCUUAUACUACCUCUUGGGGUUCUCACCAUUCCUUCCCCUACUAUUACAUGAAUGAAAUGCACUGCUUCUCUUUAUAAAAUAAUGGCCAAAUUCUCAAACUAACUCAAACUGCAAGAUAGAAGUACCACAACUAUCUAUUAACUAGGGUAAUAGAAAGUUGAAUUUUAAUGACAAAAUGUACCAGUGAAAAUUACCCUCACAAGUAAUGUUAUUUAAAUAAUGAAUUUCAGGAUAACAAACUGUUUCCUUCUAGGAUCAGUAUAGUCUAAUAAGUAUACAACCUUUUAAAGGACCAUAGUCAAUAAGUUCUUUAUUUUCAGGAUACACAAAUACUAAAGUUAUGCCCUCCAAGGAUUGAAAUUGAUUGGAUUUAAGCUAAAUUCAAUUAAGGAAAUUAAACAGGUUAUGAAAUGUGACAUUUACCAUUCAUUCUCCCACUGAAGGUUUGAUCCAAGAACCACAAGAUUCCAUUAUCAAAUUUUCUGCAGGGUAUACCUGCAUUUCUACUCUAUAAUCUCUACUGAGCAGAUGGUCUCAGCAGACAGUGCGGAGUCCCUAUAACCUCAUCCAGGAAUCUAGCGAGCUGACACCCACCAAGAAUCCCUGGAAGGCAUGGGAAAUAGCAGCACAGAUGUCCAGAAAAGCCCUGUCAGGAGCUACAAGGAUCCCCAAAGUUAUUUUUGCAGCAAACGCCUACACUGAAGGCAAGGGAAGAUUCAGAUGCAAGUUACAGCCCUACAGGACCCUGGGCCACACAGCCUGGCUGCAGGCAGCUCUGAGGGUCUCCCUCCCUGCUUCCCUGGGCUCGGCGGGCACACUCAGUGGCAUGUGUGCCCAAUGUUCCCAGGGACAGGCUUCCGUUUCCCUGCUUGCUCCUGGGUCUGGCCCUGCAAGGUACUCCAUUAAAGUUAAAAAAUGAAUGGGCACAAAAGCCACAGAUAACAGUGCAGGAAAAAACACAGGUAAAAUCCUAAAUCUGUCCUGUUGGGAUGCAGAUAACUUUCUUCAUUAAAGGUAAUCCAAAACAUUUAAAAGA